AAUGGGGGGAACCCUGAUCCAGCCAUGCCGCGUGUGUGAAGAAGGCCUUAUGGUUGUAAAGCACUUUAAGCGAGGAGGAGGGGCUCUUGGUUAAUACCCAAGAUGCUUGGACGUUACUCGCAGAAUAAGCACCGGCUAACUCUGUGCCAGCAGCCGCGGUAAUACAGAGGGUGCGAGCGUUAAUCGGAUUUACUGGGCGUAAAGCGUGCGUAGGCGGCUUUUUAAGUCGGAUGUGAAAUCCCCGAGCUUAACUUGGGAAUUGCAUUCGAUACUGGGAAGCUAGAGUAUGGGAGAGGAUGGUAGAAUUCCAGGUGUAGCGGUGAAAUGCGUAGAGAUCUGGAGGAAUACCGAUGGCGAAGGCAGCCAUCUGGCCUAAUACUGACGCUGAGGUACGAAAGCAUGGGGAGCAAA
rnacentral:rRNA from 1 species